rnacentral:rRNA from 1 species
AGAGUUUGAUCAUGGCUCAGAACGACGCUGGCGGCAUGCCUAACACAUGCAAGUCGAACGAGACCUUCGGGUCUAGUGGCGCGCGGGUGCGUAACGCGUGGGAAUCUGCCCUUUGCUUCGGAAUAACAGUUAGAAAUGACUGCUAAUACCGGAUGAUGUCUUCGGACCAAAGAUUUAUCGGCAAAGGAUGAGCCCGCGUGGGAUUAGGUAGUUGGUGGGUAAAGGCCUACCAAGCCGACGAUCCUUAGCUGGUCUGAGAGGAUGAUCAGCCACACUGGGACUGAGACACGGCCCAGACUCCUACGGGAGGCAGCAGUGGGGAAUAUUGGACAAUGGGCGCAAGCCUGAUCCAGCAAUGCCGCGUGAGUGAUGAAGGCCUUCGGGUCGUAAAGCUCUUUUACCAGGGAUGAUAAUGACAGUACCUGGAGAAUAAGCUCCGGCUAACUCCGUG